AUCUGGAAAAGAGGAGAGAAAGAGCCAGGUAUCAGUUUAAGAUGAAUUCUCCCAAAAGGGGCAUGACCUAGCAGCUAUCGCAUCACUAAAGCGCUGCUAGCCGGUCCCUGCGCUACCAACGGAUUAAACGCAGGAGUUGGGCUGAAACUUGUGUCUUGGUCACCCCACUGAGCUUGUUUCUGCUGGGGCUCUUUGAGCGCUGGACUAGAAAUUCUCUGCUCAGCACCCGGGCAAGCUGUUCCCAUCAGCAAAACCCAGUGCCCGAUAGCUGUCAUCUGUGUGGGGGUGGAUGGGUGCAGUUCAUGAAAGAUCCAUCGUAGGACCCAGCGUGGGCUCGUGGAGCUCCAGGAACUCCCCAGGAGCACCCAUCCUGCUGGCUGCACCCUCUUGCCUGGCCAGGGGGUGGCUGGUUCCACCUCAGUGCCACCUCUUAGCCACAGGGUGGGUCAAUGAGAGGACAGCACAUGGUGCCGUGGUGGAUUCUAAGCCCACCACUGGCUCCUGGGGUGACGGCAAUUCCUUGAGAGCAUCCCGGCUCCCCAGUUGGCUACUCCAGGGCUAUGAUGUGGCAACAGAAGCAGAGGGACACCCUGCUGCCACCAGGUUCCCUGCAGCCCUCGGGGAGGGUCUCUGCCACCUCCCAGGGCAAGAGGAGACCAGAUAGCAUCACGCAGAAGGCACGGAGGUGGUGUCUUCUCAGCGCCGCUCCGUGUCCCCCGGAGCCGCGGAUGCGCGGGGGGCUCCGUGACGAAGCCCAACACCGCCACAGCCGAGCAGGGACACAGUCCUGGGGCCAAACCUCAGCGCUGGCUCCCGGUGGCCACGGCAGGAGGUGCCCCCGAGGGCCGCUGCCCCUGCCCCGGACGCAGCGUCCCGGGGCGCAGCGGGGACCUGCGGCUCUCGCGGGCAGCGCGUUCCCUCCCCAGCAGCCACCAGGCAUUUCCCUCCUCCAUUUUCUCCACCAGAUCAUCGGCACGACUUUCUCGGCAGAGGAAGAGAAGCCCGAGAGGCUCCGGCAACGUUUUUCUCCCCCCCAACCCCCCAUCCCACGGGGCACCUCGACACGGAGGGAGGACCAGGCGAGGGUUGCUGUAGUUGUACAAUGUGAAGGACGGACCGACGUACGCUGGCAGAGCUACGGCAGUUGCUUAUCCGCCUGAAGCAAGGGAGCCCAGUGCUUCCAUGAGCCGAGGAGCGGGGUCUGCAGGGAAAGAGCCGUUUGUCAAACACGAGCAUCCCCCUGGCUGCGGUGAGGGGAGAGGAGCCGCUACCGCAGAUCGAGAACGCUUCCAGAGGGAAAAAUACCGCUUUGGUUUGGUGUCUAAUUAGAUAUUUACCAGGAAGGAAGGAAAGUUAAAAAUAGGGUGACAGUGACUUCAAAAGGUGUUUUUGACUUCUAAGAAUAACACCUUUGCUGGCACUGGUUUCAGGAAUAUCAACUGUGCUUGGGUGUGAAAAACAGAGAUGUUGCAGCUUGGUCGGUAGCUGAAGGAGCAAACGCGGACCCCCUGGCCUCGCAGGAGCUGCUAAACGGGGGACGUUUGCAUCCCUGAGAGGACCUGUGGAGAGCUCGACUGCACCCACAGAGACACAGCGGAGGGAGUGUGGAAAAGACAAAGCCGCCAGUGCCCCAACGUGGGUGUGAGAGGGCGUGUGGCACCAUGGGGACCCUCUCCCUGCUGGCAGUGCUGGUGCUCACCCUGACACUGGCAGGGCUCUCAGCUCCCCAAGCAGCACACGGGCAGCCCAACUUCAUCGUCAUCCUGGCAGAUGAUGUGGGCUGGGGUGACCUUGGGGCCAACUGGGCGGAGACAAAGGAGACCCCGCAUUUGGAUGAGCUGGCUGCCGAAGGGAUGAGGUUGGUGGAUUUCCACUCAGCUGCCUCCACUUGCUCACCUUCCCGCGCCUCUCUGCUCACGGGGCGCCUCGGGGCGCGCAACGGGGUGACUCACAACUUCGCCAUCACGUCUGUUGGUGGCCUCCCCCUGAACGAGACCACCCUGGCUGAGGUCCUGCGGGAAGCUGGGUACAGCACGGGGGCUAUAGGCAAGUGGCACCUUGGACACCACGGCCGCCAUCACCCCAGCUUCCGUGGCUUCGACUACUACUUUGGGAUCCCCUACAGCAAUGACAUGGGCUGCACGGACACUCCUGGCUACAACCUCCCACCGUGCCCAUCCUGCCCUCGGCACGGUGCUGCUGACAGCAGGGUGACGAGAAAGGACUGUUACACAGAGGUGGCCCUUCCUCUCUUUGAGAACGUCACCAUUGUCCAACAGCCUGUCAACCUCAGCAGCCUGGCGGCGCGCUAUGCAGAGGAGGCGUCACGGUUCAUCCAGAGGGCAAGCGACAGUGGCCGCCCCUUCUUCCUCUACCUGGCGCUGGCCCAUAUGCACGUCCCGCUGGAGGUCCCCCUGCCCCACGCCUCGGGCAGAGGCAUCUACGGAGCCUCCCUGAGCGAGAUGGAUAUGCUGGUGGGACAGAUAAAGCAGGUCGCGGACAGACACGGGAAGGGCAACACCCUCCUCUGGUUUGCAGGUGACAACGGGCCCUGGGCACAGAAGUGCGAGCUGGCAGGACGCGUGGGGCCGUUUGUGGGUGCCUGGCAGAGGCAGCGAGGUGGGAGCUCAGCAAAGCAAACGACCUGGGAAGGAGGGCACCGUGUGCCGGCACUGGCGUAUUGGCCUGGCCGCAUCCCUGCCAAGCAGACGAGCCACGCUCUGCUGAGCACUCUGGACAUCUUCCCUACGCUGGUGGCCCUGGCUGGGGCGACGCUUCCCCCGAACAGGCGUUUUGACGGCUUGGACGUGUCCCCUGUUCUCUUUGGGUGGUCAGACGUGGGGCACAAGGUUCUGCUCCACCCCAACAGUGGGGCAGCUGGGAAGGAUGGCGGGAUAGAGACCCUACGGCUGGCUCAGUACAAGGCGUUUUACACCACAGGAGGGGCAAAAGCUUGUGAUGGGAGCAUCGGGCCAGCUGAGCAUCACCAGCCACCUCUCAUUUUCAAUCUCGAUCGUGAUAUCCAGGAGCAAGAGCCUUUGGACAUGGCAUCUAGAGAGUAUCAGGCAGUGCUGCCUGCAAUCAGCAGGGCUUACGCCCAAGCUCUGGAGGACAUCGCAACAGACAACGUCUCAAUUGCAGAUUACUCUAAAGACCCGGCUGUGAUCCCCUGCUGCAACGCGCAGCACGUGGCUUGCCGAUGCCAAGCGCUUGGGACUCAUGCAUCCAUGCUGGAUCGUCACAUGGAAAGAAAAGCAACACGGCUUUGUCUUUAGGCAAACCUUCACUCAGGCUGCUCCUUUCCUGAGUUUGCUUUCUGUGAACGGGACUGUUGGUUCCAUGCUGGAGGGUGGAAAUGGAGAAAAAGGAUGGAGGUUGCAGUCCCCUUUGCUCUGUGCUGUGCAGAUGGAUCCAGUGACUCCUCGGCUGCUUCAGCUUCAAGCUGCUUUUCACACACCUUUAACACUGCUCCUUGUACUCUUUUCCCAUGUAGUCUUCACUGUUCUGUGCUCAGGCUUCUUACCCGGCUGGCUUGGCCUGGAUCUCCUUAUCCUCAGCUAACCUGUUGUGCCAAUGUACUCUCAUUUAUUCCGUCGCUGAAUGCUGCAAUGCUUUAUGCUUGCAGGAUAAUACUGAGUCAGGCGAGUCUGAGGGGUUGAUAUGAUUGCAGGAUAGUAAUCGCAAUAAAAAGCCUUGCCUUCUCUCCUUCCCAGUGACCAUUCUUUGCUUCUAUUACUGUUGAUAAAUAGCACCAUAAAAAUUAAAGUAAUAGAUCUAGUCAUUGUAAGGACUUCUGGGAAGCUUUGUUAAAAAGCAAACAAUUUAUCUUCCCACUUGGGAUAUUUCACAUGCUUUUUGAAGACAAAUUUAUUGGUCUUUUAUGAGACCAGGAAUAUGUAUGCUACAUGACUUAAUGCAGAAUGGAGAUAAGCCAAAUGCUCAAGAAUGAAGAGGUGACAUUAUCACUCAGUUGAUGAAGGAAUUAUGAUGAUCUUGAAGAGGACUGGUGUUUUUAAUCAUGAAAACAGUGCUUUUGAUUCCUUCUUAUGAGGCUGAAGCAGAAUUGGCUAAAUAUGUAAAGCCAACAGUAGAGUACCUUACAAAAUGAGUGGGUGAGAUGUCCAGGUUCUCCAAGGUAGUCAGGUAGCCAAAUCUUCUUAACUUGCAAGGACCUAAAUAUCUGUGGACACUUUCAUCUAGAAUCUGCCUAGAAAUAUCAUACUUCAGGCAGUAUUUCUUGGUUUUAAAUGAGAGCAAUCAGGCUGCUAAAAUCCAGAAAGACCUAUUUCUGCAAGUCCGUGCUGUAACACAUGAUGAUUCCCUGGGGAGUCAUCUUGUCUAUGCUCAGACUUGGCCAGUAUUUACCAGUCUCGACAACUGAAUGUCCCACCACUAAGAACGUGUGAUGGUUACCAUCACUGAAAUCACUACCAUGCUAACCCACAGUGCUUGACAUCAGGGUGUGAACCAGGACUGAUCACUAGAUUUGUCUAAAAAACAAAUAUAGUGGUGCUCUUGGAUGGGCUCUGCUUCAGGAUUGGAGAUGAUACCGAAUUAGAGAAACGGCUCUAUGGAGUUCAUAGUAAAUGUAACCAUAAGCAGCGGGUACAGUUCUCCACCUCAUCCCCCUUUGUGAUGACUUGAUGGAGGUGUCACGCCGUGUCUCUGGUGCCUGUGUUUGCUGUACGGUGCUGGCAGCCUGGGCAGCUCUGCUGUGCUCUUCAGCAGCCACAGCCUCCGGCAACAGAUUGCUUCAUGAGAAAAUCUGAUGCAUAAAAUUGUUUGAAAUGAAAGUUGUGGGAACAGUACUGACGGUAAUGCAAGUUAUUUACUUGGGAAUGCUUAUUACUUAAUUAGACAGUUAAGGCCUAGGUCUGACUGUAAUCCAGACCAAAUGGAACAGGGCUUGCUUUGUUUUUAAUUGCUCUUACAUCUUUGACAGUGUAAGAAUUAACACAUGAAUAUGUAUGAACAUAUGCUAACUUUCAAAGGUAAAUCAGUGCUGAGUCAUGAUGAAGGAGCUGUGGGCAGUUAACAAGAGGGACCCCAGGCUGGCAUCACAAGGCUCCUUUGGAAAGCCGGUUCCGUUCCCUUUAUUGCACUCCUGCCUUGCCAUCUGAACUCUCCGGCUCCAAAGCUCGGGAAAGGAUUGCAUCAGGAGCUGUACAACAGAAUACUUGUUUUCUUAAUAAAGAGAAUGUUGCAGAGCAGGUU